GACGAACGCUGGCGGCGUGCCUAAUACAUGCAAGUAAAACGCUGAAGAGAGGAGCUUGCUCUUCUUGGAUGAGUUGCGAACGGGUGAGUAACGCGUAGGUAACCUGCCUUGUAGCGGGGGAUAACUAUUGGAAACGAUAGCUAAUACCGCAUAACAAUGGAUGACACAUGUCAUUUAUUUGAAAGGGGCAAUUGCUCCACUACAAGAUGGACCUGCGUUGUAUUAGCUAGUAGGUGAGGUAAUGGCUCACCUAGGCGACGAUACAUAGCCGACCUGAGAGGGUGAUCGGCCACACUGGGACUGAGACACGGCCCAGACUCCUACGGGAGGCAGCAGUAGGGAAUCUUCGGCAAUGGGGGCAACCCUGACCGAGCAACGCCGCGUGAGUGAAGAAGGUUUUCGGAUCGUAAAGCUCUGUUGUAAGUCAAGAACGGGUGUGAGAGUGGAAAGUUCACACUGUGACGGUAGCUUACCAGAAAGGGACGGCUAACUACGUG
rnacentral:rRNA from 1 species